GCAGCUCUCAACCAUCACAACUUACCAGCCAGGGGACCUCGGGCUGGUGCCUCGACGUCUUCAGGUCCACAUCCCACCCAAACCCCAGGACCUCAGGCCUCUCUCUUGUGUCACCCGAAUGGGGAUCUGCAAGUUACAGAACACUACUGAGAUCUACCCAUCUGGAGCUCUCAAAAGGUUCAAAAAGUUUACCCUUCCUAGACCUUUCCUACACACGGGGAGACCAAGUCGCUGCAGAAAGCCUGAUGUGGCCCCUGUCCCUCCCUGAAUCUGCAAGUGGCCUGGGACAACCCAGAGAAGUUCCAUAAACAUUGGGUACCACA
rnacentral:lncRNA from 1 species